CCUAAUACAUGCAAGUCGAACGAGUUCUGAUUAUUGAAAGGUGCUUGCAUCUUGAUUUAAUUUUGAACGAGUGGCGGACGGGUGAGUAACACGUGGGUAACCUGCCCUUAAGUGGGGGAUAACAUUUGGAAACAGAUGCUAAUACCGCAUAAAUCCAAAAACCGCAUGGUUCUUGGCUGAAAGAUGGCGUAAGCUAUCGCUUUUGGAUGGACCCGCGGCGUAUUAGCUAGUUGGUGAGGUAACGGCUCACCAAGGCAAUGAUACGUAGCCGAACUGAGAGGUUGAUCGGCCACAUUGGGACUGAGACACGGCCCAAACUCCUACGGGAGGCAGCAGUAGGGAAUCUUCCACAAUGGACGCAAGUCUGAUGGAGCAACGCCGCGUGAGUGAAGAAGGCUUUCGGGUCGUAAAACUCUGUUGUUGGAGAAGAAUGGUCGGCAGAGUAACUGUUGUCGGCGUGACGGUAUCCAACCAGAAAGCCACGGCUAACUACGUGCCAGCAGCCGCGGUAAUACGUAGGUGGCAAGCGUUAUCCGGAUUUAUUGGGCGUAAAGCGAGCGCAGGCGGUUUUUUAAGUCUGAUGUGAAAGCCCUCGGCUUAACCGAGGAAGUGCAUCGGAAACUGGGAAACUUGAGUGCAGAAGAGGACAGUGGAACUCCAUGUGUAGCGGUGAAAUGCGUAGAUAUAUGGAAGAACACCAGUGGCGAAGGCGGCUGUCUGGUCUGUAACUGACGCUGAGGCUCGA
rnacentral:rRNA from 1 species